GGAUGCGAUCAUACCAGCACUAAAGCACCGGAUCCCAUCAGAACUCCGAAGUUAAGCGUGCUUGGGCGAGGGUAGUACUAGGAUGUGUGACCUCCUGGGAAGUCCUCGUGUUGCAUUCC
rnacentral:rRNA from 2 species